rnacentral:tRNA from 1 species
AAAGUAGUGUUGAAUCAAUCAUAUGAUCUUGUCAAGAUCAAGUUACAUACGUGUCUGCUUUU